UACGUAGGGACCAAGCGUUGCUCGGAUUUACUGGGCGUAAAGGGCGCGUAGGCGGCAAUUCAAGUCAUCUGUGAAAUCUCCGGGCUUAACUCGGAACGGUCAGAUGAUACUGCUUUGCUAGAGUGCGGAAGGGGCAAUCGGAAUUCUCGGUGUAGCAGUGAAAUGCGUAGAUAUCGAGAGGAACACCUGAGGUGAAGACGGGUUGCUGGGCCGACACUGACGCUGAAGCGCGAAAGCCAGGGGAGCAAACGGG
rnacentral:rRNA from 1 species